ensembl:lncRNA
CUCAGACACUCUACAGAGAGAGGCGGGAGGGGGAGAGAGUGGACAAGCCCUCCUGGAUUCCCAGCACUGUAAGGUCAUACAUACCAUAUUUAGGACAGGCCUGGAACCCCCCCCCCCCCCCCCCACCUAUCCCCCUCAUUCCUCAAAUGGAAAGCCAUGCAAUGCAUAUUAUUCAAAUUCUGUGUUGGUUUUUUGGUUGAUUGGUUUUCUUUUCAUAGUUACAAAAUCAUACGAGAACAAAGUAAGUCAUGUACAAAUUAUGGAGUAAAACUAACAAAAAGUAAUAAUAUUACGGAGGCCGUAGUUUUCCAGGUGCACUUGGGUGGAAGAGAGAAUGAUGGAUUAUUCACGAGUCUGUGAGGCACUUCAGUCGAUGCAGUUACUGAAACUGAGACUAAAACUUGGACUGAAACUGAGAAGCUGAGUGGAAAAACAGGAGGAGACGCCUGUCCUGCUGAACAGUACUUUAUGUCGUAUUGGGUUGUGUUCAAAAUGGAGGAAAAUUAUACAAAAUCAGAGCAGCGAGCCGUUACUGCCAGAACCUGUCCAAUGGGAAAAGCCUGAGUGUUUGUUGUUGUUGAAAACGUUUUGAAAUGUUUUGCACUCCAAUGAACACGCCCCCGACGGAGAUGUGGGAACUGUGCCCUUCCAUUGAGAAGCAACGUGCUUUAAUGUCUUACCUUUGUUCGGAUAUUACAAUGUAAUGUGGGAGGACAGGUAACUUAUUGUUAAGUGUAAACGAUCUGUUGUUUCACUGCAGGGUCAUGUACAGGUCUAAUCAACAGGGUUAGGAGUUUUCCCUGAAUGCAAAGGACCUCUCUCUAGGUCCUAGGUGUAAAACUCAUCCGGUGAAACUCCGGAGAGUCCCCCUGUGUACUUGGAUGCAUUUUAUUCCUGUCAGGUCAAAUUAUCAGAUUGAACAUCCCAGGUCAAUCCCAGGUCAAUGAAGGGGAAAUCGGUGCGGCCAUGUUUUUUUCCAGACCGUUCGGUCUGAGGUAAAAACUCUUGGUAUUUUAAAUAGGAAAUGUGCCUGAUUACAGGUCUGUGGUGUUCUUUAUAGAGGAGAAGGCAUUCGGUGGAUAUGGUUCAUUAACAGGCAGACCCAGACAUAAGUGGAUUCCUCUCCAUAAUAUGCAUUUGCAGAGAUCUCGACGGAUUGGAGACGUAAGUAUAUUGCAAAGAGGCUAUUUAGUCGUUCAGAUGUUGCUGUUACCAGAUUGCAUUUCAUCCAAUCCUCUAAGAUCCCCACAAGUGUGGAGAGGUUGGAUUCGGGAUCAGAUCAAGGAUAGGGACAGCGAAGACACUGGGCUUCAAAUGAAAGGUCCCUUAUUUAGCGGUAACAAUGUCUGUUUUUUCCGAUUGUGCCCUCGUACUUCUACUACCUUUUUGGACUCAAAAGGAAUAGACCGUUGUAAGGAACACUGUGCUUACUGGACCAUGUGCACGGCAUCUCCAAGACGGAGAGAACAAUGUGAUGGGUGGAUCACACUGGGUCCAGAGUCGGAAGCAGCCAUUAUCUUGUGAACAGGGUAUGUAGACGCCAGGUAGAGAGCUGGGGGUUAAAGUUCGUCCGACAAGAGUUUUAGUUUAGUAUUGUGUUUAUUUUUUUUUUGAAUUGUGUUUCAUUUCCAUGUGAGAGAUACUUCUGAGUAUUGAAUAAAAAAAACCUUGAUAUGACCGAACUUAUGAUUAUAUAUAAAUGCCGUUACUUAAGAGCUGACUCGGAGUCAGCUUAUCCACCACUGUGCUCUUUUUGGUUGACUUGAACUUGCCCUUAAUCCCGAUCUUGAUCUCAAACUUGAUCUUUGAAUUUUUCAACUGUAGUGAAGUUAAGAAGCGUACUUGGAUCAGUGCUCUCGUUCUUGUUGUUGUGUUUCAUUACGUCUGUGUCCCAAACGACACCCUAUUCUCUAUGAGUCUAUAGUGCACUAAACCCAAUGGGCACUCUGGUCAAAGGUAGUGCACUAAACCCAAUGGGCACUCUGGUCAAAGGUAGUGCACUAAACCCAAUGGGCACUCUGGUCAAAGGUAGUGCACUAAACCCAAUGGGCACUCUGGUCAAAGGUAGUGCACUAAACCCAAUGGGCACUCUGGUCAAAGGUAGUGCACUAAACCCAAUAGGCACUCUGGUCAAAGGUUGUGCACUAUAUUGUGAAUCGGGGGUCAUUUGGGAUGCACACUUUUCAAUAUUGUGUGUAUUGAGAACUGCGCUCCCCAUUCCCGACCAAUCACAGACCAGAGAAGCCCUGGCUGGGACAGGAGUGACCUAUCAUGAUAGAGAAGACAAACCUGAACAUGCCCACACUGGAUGUUCCAUGGCAUCACUGUUAGAUCCACGACACGGGGAACACUCGUGUUCGUGUGGUAGUGACUCCAGGUGGGUGCCCACAUCCUCAUCACUCAAACCAUCGAAAAUGUAACGUUAGAAUUCUUCAUAAGACCUGUCGUCUGAGCUGGUAGCUGUGUGUGGGCUGUGGCCUUAGCCUUAUUUCACACUUAUAGUAUCUCCAGGGGCCAAUCAAAUGGCAUCCUGUUUCCCAUGCACUCCCACUUGCCCUGGUGAGAAGUCGUGCUCUGAACAGCGGCAGUGGGGUGCCAUUUGGCAGGCUUACGGAGGAAUAUAUAGAUGGAGAAAAACUUUGUUCAAAAAUUAUCUUGCCAAUACAUUUAUUUUUUGAAUUUCAUCGUCAGAGGGGACAAAUCAAGUUUGGAUGUCGGAUUUUAGCAAUACUCAACUCAUACUGGCUACUCUUGUUUAUUGCAAUAAUAAAAAUCAACAAAUAUGUAUGUGAGUUAAAUAUUAUCAAUGUAAUUUAAAAUGAAAAAUAAACUUUAUGAAAAUGCUGUUGUUGUCUGUCGAGGGGAAGCUAAUGGUGGG